rnacentral:rRNA from 1 species
UACGUAGGGUCCGAGCGUUGUCCGGAAUUAUUGGGCGUAAAGAGCUCGUAGGCGGUCUGUCGCGUCGGCUGUGAAAUCCCGAGGCUCAACCUCGGGUCUGCAGUCGAUACGGGCAAACUGGAGUGUUGCAGGGGAGACUGGAAUUCCUGGUGUAGCGGUGAAAAUGCGCAGAUAUCAGGAGGAACACCGGUGGCGAAGGCGGGUCUCUGGGCAACAACUGACGCUGGAGGAGCGAAAGCGUGGGGAGCGAACAGG